UUAACUAUCUGGUACAUCCAGCUUAAACCCUAGAUCGCUCGCUAGCUCGCUCGCGACUUCAGAAAACAAGGGAGGUCGACUUGAGCCCCUUCAGAGGUAGAUUUAUUUGUCAUCUUGAUUCGAUGAGAUGGAAAAAUUGUCUCGAGUCACGACAUGGUGGGAACUAGAUUGGCUGUGGCGCAGAGGACACUGGAUAUGUUCAAUUUGCUGCGCGAUAGGAACUCGGAGCGAAUGACGGCUAAAGAUUCAAGAGUUUGGAUGACGCAUCUUGGCUGUAUGGUGGAGAGGAUGUUCGAAGCAGAUAGCUUAAUUCUUGCAAGAAUUUCUUGUUUAUUUGCUUCCAGGCGUUGGUUUCUUGCAGCGAAUCUCAUAUUAUUAACGUGAAGAAUGAUGCUGAUUCAAUAAGUAGUGUUGGAUCCAAAUUUGUCAGUUGGAAAACAGGCCGAGAGAGCUUACUCGAAUAUGUCAACCAUGUGAAGGUCUUAAGAGUACCUUGGGCGAGUACUCUCUAUGAUAAGGCCGAAGCAACUUUAUCCAAUGGGUAAUAGGAGUGAAUGCCUGAGGUCUGUUGUUUCUUGAAUACCCUUGUAGAGUAAAUGUCGUAUUAAGCUAUAUUUUAACUUGAUAUGUACUUUGUUCUAGGGUAAUUUGUGGAUUUUUAUGUGUAAUUUGUGUUUGAUUGCUGAUUAGAUGAAAAUCUAUGGCCAUUUGAUUA